AUUGAACGCUGGCGGCAGGCCUAACACAUGCAAGUCGAGCGGAUGAGAGGAGCUUGCUCCUCGAUUCAGCGGCGGACGGGUGAGUAAUGCCUAGGAAUCUGCCUAGUAGUGGGGGACAACGUUUCGAAAGGAACGCUAAUACCGCAUACGUCCUACGGGAGAAAGUGGGGGAUCUUCGGACCUCACGCUAUUAGAUGAGCCUAGGUCGGAUUAGCUAGUUGGUAGGGUAACGGCCUACCAAGGCGACGAUCCGUAACUGGUCUGAGAGGAUGGUCAGUCACACUGGAACUGAGACACGGACAAGACUCUUACGGGAGGCAGCAGUGGGGAAUAUUGGACAAUGGGCGAAAGCCGGUUCCAGCCAUGCCGCGGGUGUGAAGAAGGCCCUCGGGUCGUAAAGCACUUUAAGUUGGGAGGAAGGGCUUACAGCGAAUACCUGUGAGUUUUGACGUUACCGACAGAAUAAGCACCGGCUAACUUCGUGCCAGCCGCCGCCGUAA
rnacentral:rRNA from 1 species